ensembl:misc_RNA Metazoa_SRP Metazoan signal recognition particle RNA
GCUGGGCGCGGUGGCGCGUGCCUGUAAUCCCAGCUACUCAGGAGGCUGAGGCAGGAGAAUAGCUUGAACCAGGGAGUUGGAGGCUGCAGUGAGCCAAGAUUGUGCCACUGCACUCCAGCCUGGUGACAGAGCGAGACUCCGUCUCAA